rnacentral:rRNA from 1 species
AGCAGCCGCCGCGGUAAUACGAAGGGGGCUAGCGUUGUUCGGAAUUACUGGGCGUAAAGCGCACGUAGGCGGAUGUUUAAGUCCGUUGUGAAAGCCCUGGGCUCAACCUGGGAAUUGCAGUGGAUACUGGGUCACUAGAGUGUGGUAGAGGAUAGUGGAAUUUCCGGUGUAGCAGUGAAAUGCGUAGAGAUCGGAAGGAACAUCUGUGGCGAAGGCGACUAUCUGGGCCAACACUGACACUGAGGCACGAAAGCGUGGGGAGCAAACAGGAUUAGAUACCCGCGUAGUCCCUGUCUCUUAUAU